rnacentral:lncRNA from 1 species
CAGCUCUCCGUUGCCUCCGCCGGCUGUGUGCCUGCCUGCAAGGCAGCUGCUGCUCGCCUAAAUAGAGAUGACUGAAAACUGGAACACCGGAAGUAACCGAUAGCUGGAAGACCGGCAGUGUUGUCAGGAUGUGGGAUGGUAGGGAUGGUAGGGCUGGUCAGAACCUGCGCCUGCACGUGCCCCAUCCUGCCUACCUCUAUCCCUCGCUCGUCCACAGGCCUGUCCACUGCGCGGAGGCAGCUGCGGCGCGCUGGACCUAUCCUGGCGUACGUUUAUGACGUCGCCGCCGCUGCAGGCGCCCUCGGGGCGCAGCCGCCGCAGCUGCAGCUGGAGGGCAGGAUCGCGCUGGCGCAGCUGGGGGAGGUGCUGCCUCGCGUUCACACCGUCUCCCUGGUGUCGGCGGCGGGACGGCAGCACGCGAUGCGCGAGCAUGUGAGCGGCCUGGACGGCCGCCAGUGAAGCUUGGCAGUAGCAGCAGUAGCAGCCUUGCUUGGGGCUUGUGGAGCUGGAGGCGGCGCUGUUCCUGCUGGGGCAACUGGCGCCCUACCUGGGCGGCUGGCACCUGGUGCUGCCCGCGUCGCUGGUCAACUUCAGGUGCGGAGCGGAGGGGCGCGAAUGGAGGGGGAGGCGGGCGCGGAGGGAGAGGGGCAGCGGGAAAGACAACACUGCUUGCCUACACACCAACACUAUCAACACCAACACUAUCAUCAUCAGCGCUAUCAACACCGUCAACACCAACACACAUCAACAACCACACCCACAGGACCGCGCUGUCCACGCUGCUGACGUGGCUGGCAGCGCCCAGCCUGGCCAAGUCCUUCGCCGUGGACUGCCGCCCGCGCACGCCCCGGGAGGCAGCCCUGGCGGCCAUGCCCGCCCCAGGCAUGCCCGCAGCAGACGGCUGGUUCCGCGUCGCCACCGCCGGCGCCGCGGCGCCGCCCGCCGGCGGCGCCGCCACCUUCGCCUUCGCCGCCGCCGCGGCAGGCGGUGCAGGCGGCGGCGGGGGCGGCACGCCCGGCGGCGGCGGCGGCGGCGGCCUGGGCUCGCCGAUCCCUGGCGUGGCGACGCUGGGUUCUACAUCACCCAGCAUUCGCUUCUCCAUGUCACGUGGCAUGUCGGACACCUUGGGGAGCCUCAGCACGCCCUCCACGCCGCCCGCCGGCGGCGGCGCGGGCGGCGCGCACCACGUACACUCGCACCAUUCGCACCACCACUCGUACCACCACCUGCACUCGGGUCUGGGGCAGCGCGAGGCGGCGGCGCAGGAUUGGUUCGCGUCGUUGGAGCUGAGCGGCGGGUUGGGCAUGGGCACGCCGGCUGUGCCAGCCAUUUAACAAUGACGACGAAGUGGGGGAAGCGGUGAUGCCGUGGG